UGUUUUUAACAUAUUUACUGAAAAUAUUAUUAUAAUUGUCAACACUUAAUGAUAUCAUGAUGUCUGAUAAACACAGAUAUGACUGAAAGAAAUUAUCAAAUACUUUAAAAAUUGUAUGGUAAUAUCUCCCAUUUGAAAGAGACCUAAGAUUUUUUUUAAUAUCUACAAACUCAAUGUUUGUUAAAUAAAUGAAUGGGUAAAUGAUUAGAAAAAUAUGCAAACAUUUUAUUGUUGUAUCAUUAGUUCUAAAUGCAAAGUGAUAAAAUAAAGAAAAUUAUCAUUUCAUUAAUACUUUAGUACAUGAUGAAAUAUGUAGAAUACAGAAUACAAUUAGGAACUUUUCUGUGGUUUUAGGUAUUUAACAUAACCCCAAUUUUAAUGACUGGUAUCAGAUGUUGCAGUAAUCAGAUAAUGUCCUCUGGCUGCUCUUGCUGAUUUCUCUGAAGACUGGUGUUUUGGAAAGACUGUUGAAUUGAGAAGCAAAGUCCAAGAUGAUGAAACUGAGACUCGGAGCAGUAGGAAGAACAGAAGUUAAUCACUACAGACAACUCUAGAAGCUUAUCAUGUCAGAGAAAACACAAGGAGACUUUGUACAACAAAUCUCACUAACUAGACAAACAGUCCAUUAGCUGUUGGACUAGCUAACAGUCCAUUAGCUUCCUCCAUAUAUUUAUCUUCCCACAAGUUA